rnacentral:rRNA from 1 species
UACGGAGGGUGCAAGCGUUAUCCGGAUUCACUGGGUUUAAAGGGUGUGUAGGCGGGCUAUUAAGUCAGUGGUGAAAUCUCUGGGCUCAACCCAGAAACUGCCAUUGAUACUAUUAGUCUUGAAUAUUGUUGAGGUUGGCGGAAUAUGUCAUGUAGCGGUGAAAUGCUUAGAUAUGACAUAGAACACCGAUUGCGAAGGCAGCUAGCUAAACAAUGAUUGACGCUGAGGCACGAAAGCGUGGGGAUCAAACAGGAUUAGAUACCCUGGUAGUCCACGCCCUAAACGAUGAUUACUGGACAUUUGCGAUAUACAGUGAGUGUCUGAGCGAAAGCAUUAAGUAAUCCACCUGGGAAGUACGUCCGCAAGGAUGAA